rnacentral:rRNA from 1 species
AGAUUGAACGCUGGCGGCAGGCCUAACACAUGCAAGUCGAGCGGCAGCACGGGUACUUGUACCUGGUGGCGAGCGGCGGACGGGUGAGUAAUGCCUAGGAAUCUGCCUGGUAGUGGGGGAUAACGCUCGGAAACGGACGCUAAUACCGCAUACGUCCUACGGGAGAAAGCAGGGGACCUUCGGGCCUUGCGCUAUCAGAUGAGCCUAGGUCGGAUUAGCUAGUUGGUGAGGUAUGGCUCACAAGGCGACGAUCCGUAACUGGUCUGAGAGGAUGAUCAGUCACACUGGAACUGAGACACGGUCCGAGACUCCGUACGGGAGGCAGGCAGGUGGGAAUAGUUAGGAACUAAGUGGGGACGAAAGUCCGUAGAC